UAAAUUAUUACAAAAUGUUUUUCUCUCUAACUACUGGGCAAAGUGCAAUAUAGAUAGAUAUAUUGUUAACAGCAAGAGUGUUCAGUAAAGUAAUAUCUAAAAACACAUCACCAUCACCAAAACACAAUUUUGUCAUGAAUCCAUCUGUGUCCUUUGUUUAAUAUGCACAUAGACCAAGGUGAGCGACACAGGCUCUUUAGAGCC
rnacentral:lncRNA from 1 species